AUUAGCUGCCAGCUAGCUCUCUGCAACUUUCACAUGGUCGCCCACUGAAGCUAAGCAGGGCUGCACCUGGUCAGGACCUGGAUGGGAGACCACAUGGGAAAGCCAGGUUGCUGCUGGAA
rnacentral:rRNA from 1 species